UGAACGCUGGCGGCGUGCCUAAUACAUGCAAGUCGAGCGAACAGACGAGGAGCUUGCUCCUCUGACGUUAGCGGCGGACGGGUGAGUAACACGUGGAUAACCUACCUAUAAGACUGGGAUAACUUCGGGAAACCGGAGCUAAUACCGGAUAAUAUAUUGAACCGCAUGGUUCAAUAGUGAAAGACGGUUCUGCUGUCACUUAUAGAUGGAUCCGCGCCGCAUUAGCUAGUUGGUAAGGUAACGGCUUACCAAGGCAACGAUGCGUAGCCGACCUGAGAGGGUGAUCGGCCACACUGGAACUGAGACACGGUCCAGACUCCUACGGGAGGCAGCAGUAGGGAAUCUUCCGCAAUGGGCGAAAGCCUGACGGAGCAACGCCGCGUGAGUGAUGAAGGUCUUCGGAUCGUAAAACUCUGUUAUUAGGGAAGAACAAAUGUGUAAGUAACUAUGCACGUCUUGACGGUACCUAAUCAGAAAGCCACGGCUAACUACGUG
rnacentral:rRNA from 1 species